AUUGAACGCUGGCGGCAUGCCUUACACAUGCAAGUCGAACGGUAGCACGGGAGCAAUCCUGGUGGCGAGUGGCGAACGGGUGAGUAAUAUAUCGGAACGUGCCCAGUCGUGGGGGAUAACGUAGCGAAAGCUACGCUAAUACCGCAUACGAUCUAUGGAUGAAAGCGGGGGAUCGCAAGACCUCGCGCGAUUGGAGCGGCCGAUAUCAGAUUAGGUAGUUGGUGAGGUAAAGGCUCACCAAGCCGACGAUCUGUAGCUGGUCUGAGAGGACGACCAGCCACACUGGGACUGAGACACGGCCCAGACUCCUACGGGAGGCAGCAGUGGGGAAUUUUGGACAAUGGGCGCAAGCCUGAUCCAGCAAUGCCGCGUGCAGGAUGAAGGCCUUCGGGUUGUAAACUGCUUUGUACGGAACGAAACGGUGAGCUCUAAUACAGUUUGCUAAUGACGGUACCGUAAGAAUAAGCACCGGCUAACUACGUG
rnacentral:rRNA from 1 species